GGCCUGCUGGCCCAAUGGCAAGGCGUUUGACUUCGAAUCAAAAGAUUACAGGUUCGAUCCCUGUGCAGGUCG
rnacentral:tRNA from 1 species